UGGCUAACUCCUACGGGAGGCAGCAGUGGGGAAUUUUGGACAAUGGGGGCAACCCUGAUCCAGCAAUGCCGCGUGAGUGAAGAAGGCCUUAGGGUUGUAAAGCUCUUUCAGCUGGGAAGAUAAUGACGGUACCAGCAGAAGAAGCCCCGGCUAACUCCGUGCCAGCAGCCGCGGUAAUACGGAGGGGGCCAGCGUUGUUCGGAAUUACUGGGCGUAAAGCGCACGUAGGCGGACUGGAAAGUUGGAGGUGAAAUCCCAGGGCUCAACCUUGGAACUGCCUUCAAAACUAUCAGUCUGGAGUUCGAGAGAGGUGAGUGGAAUUCCGAGUGUAGAGGUGAAAUUCGUAGAUAUUCGGAGGAACACCAGUGGCGAAGGCGGCUCACUGGCUCGAUACUGACGCUGAGGUGCGAAAGUGUGGGGAGCAAACAGGAUUAGAUACCCCAGUAGUCCAGCUGG
rnacentral:rRNA from 1 species